rnacentral:lncRNA from 1 species
CCCUGGAGGGCAGCCAGAAGAGAAUGGAAUCAGCCAGGAAUGGAGAGAGCAGCUGAAGCACAUUCAAGCCCGUCAAGCAGUUUAACAGGAAAAACCACUGAGCCUGAAACUUCUGAGAUGGUGUCCUGGAAUAGAACAUGUGGGCAAAACAAUGGGGACUAUAUGGUGGCAGGACCCAAUCCCGCACUGCGCGCAGUGUGAAAGUGCAACACACCUUCAAGGGGAGUUCUUGAAAGUAUUGUUCCUUAGGAAGGCAGAAUACACACUAGAACUUCCAGAGAACACAGCAACUGCACUUUCCUUACAAAGGUAAGGACUUGAGAUUUGGUUCUAUCUUCCUUCUACUCUCACUGAAGUUCCCUCAGCUAGACAGCAGCUGGUGACAGAAAGAGAAGGAUUCCACAGAAGGAUUCCUGAAUUUACAGGGUUAAUUUAGGUAGUCAGAAAUGUAAUUAUCCAAGUUGGAAUUCAUCCAGUACACCAGUCUAACCCUCUUCUUUCCAAAAGUACCAUGCACACUUUAAUUACCAGAGGAGACCAAGGUCUCAGCUUUAUUGCAUCUGAAAAAUAACCUGGCCUAUAGCCCAAAGGCCCUAACACUGUACUAAGGCACUUAUUCAGUACUGACUCAGAUGGAAGACUGCCACCUACUGAAUUGCCAACACGGCCAUUUCCUACAGGGGUCUCCCGUCUAAAUGCUAACCCAACCUAACCCUGCCCAGAUUAUGCAAUCUGAUUAGAACACAGCUUCAGGUGUUUUGACUGAGAGCUUAGUACAAUGAAAUACCUGAAAGCUAAGUAUAAUGAAAUACCCUGCUCCUACGUGCAUUUGUACACUACCUGUGCUAAUGAGACAGAAGGGGGAAAGAACCUAAUGAUUUAGAGGAGAACUUGAUAUUAGCAAACCUCAUCUUUUUUGUACCAUCAGCAUCCUAUGUAC